UACAUGGGGUGCAAACGUUGCUCGGAAUCAUUGGGCGUAAAGCGCGCGUAGGCGGUUACUUAAGUCGAAUGUGAAAGCCCUCGGCUUAACUGAGGAAGUUCAUCCGAAACUGAGUAGCUAGAGUACGAAAGAGGGUCGCGGAAUUCCCGGUGUAGAGGUGGAAUUCGUAGAUAUUAGGAAGAACACCAGUGGCGAAGGCGGCUCACUGGUCCGGUACUGACGCUGAGGUGCGAAAGCGUGGGGAGCAAACAGG
rnacentral:rRNA from 1 species